rnacentral:rRNA from 1 species
GGUGAACGCUGGCGGCGUGCUUAAGACAUGCAAGUCGAACGGCAGUCUUCGGACUGUAGUGGCGCACGGGUGAGUAACGCGUAACUGACCUACCCCAAAGUCGCGGAUAACGAUUCGAAAGAAUCGCUAAUACGUGAUGUGCUGUCAGAUUGUGUUCUGCCAGUAAAGAUUGAUUGCUUUGGGAUGGGGUUGCGUUCCAUCAGCUAGUUGAUGGGGUAAAGGCCCACCAAGGCGACGACGGAUAGCCGGCCUGAGAGGGUGGCCGGCCACAGGGGCACUGAGACACGGGUCCCACUCCUACGGGAGGCAGCAGUUAGGAAUCUUCCACAAUGGGCGAAAGCCUGAUGGAGCGACGCCGCGUGAGGGAUGAAGGUCUUCGGAUCGUAAACCUCUGAAUCAGGGACGUAAGACACUUCGGUGGGAUGACGGUACCUGAGUAAUAGCACCGGCUAACUCCGUGCCAGCCGCCGCAGUAACAC